AGACCAGUGACGCAGUGGUUAGCGUUCCGUUCUUAUAUGGUUCCUUCGGGAGUCAUAUGACUCUGAUUCCUCAGUUAUGCGGGGGUCGUGGGUUCGAAUCCCACUUGGUCUA